rnacentral:misc_RNA from 1 species
GAUGAAGAACGUAGUGAAAUGCGAUAAGUAAUGUGAAUUGCAGAAUCCAGUGAAUCAUCGAAUCUUUGAACGCACAUUGCGCCCUCUGGUAUUCCGGGGGGCAUGCCUGUUCGAGCGUCAUUGUAACCACUCAAGCUCUCGCUUGGUAUUGGGGUUCGCGGUUCCGCGGCCCCUAAAAUCAGUGGCGGUGCCUGUCGGCUCUACGCGUAGUAAUACUCCUCGCGAUUGAGUCCGGUAGGUCUACUUGCCAGCAACCCCCAAUUUUUACAGGUUGACCUCGGAUCAGGUAGGGAUACCCGCUGAACUUAAGCAUAUCAAUAAGCGGAGGA